AUUGAACGCUGGCGGCAGGCCUAACACAUGCAAGUCGGGCGAGCGGCGGACGGGUGAGUAAUGUAUGGGGAUCUGCCUGAUGGCGGGGGAUAACUACUGGAAACGGUAGCUAAUACCGCAUACCAUCAGAUGAACCCAUAUGGGAUUAGCUAGUAGGUAAGGUAACGGCUGACCUAGGCGACGAUCCCUAGCUGGUCUGAGAGGAUGAUCUGCCACACUGGGCCUGAGACACGGCCCAGACUCCUACGGGAGGCAGCAGUGGGGAAUAUUGCACAAUGGUGGCGAGCCUGAUGCAGCGACGCCGCGUGGGGCAUGAAGGCUUUCGGGUUGUAAACCGCUGUCGCUAUCGAAAGGGUAGGUGGAGAAGAAGCGCCGGCUAACUACGUGCCAGCAGCCGCGGUAAUAC
rnacentral:rRNA from 1 species